UCACACAGUAGAUUGACAUGACAGUGAUAGUAAUAGCUUCACUUCUGCAAUGAUAGAUGCCAUAUCAGGCAGAAUAACAAAAUCUGCACAGUCCUCAUUCUCAGUCUGGUUUUUCCUCUUCAUUUUUUUUAAACAAUGAGAACCCUGCUGAAUGAAUAAUGGUCCCUCCCAUUUUUCACCUAGGUCUCCAAAAAACCCAGAACAGAAGAUCAUUAAACGAGUGAUUGCUCUUGAAGGGGACAUCAUCAAAACCAUAGGCUAUAAAAAGAAAUAUGUGAAAAUUCCACAUGGCUAUAUAUGGGUAGAAGGCGAUCAUCAUGGGCACAGCUUUGACAGCAAUGCUUUUGGUCCGAUUUCUCUUGGCCUUCUACAUGCUCGUGCUACUCGUAUACUUUGGCCUCCAGAGCGUUGGCAGAAGUUACAACCCAAGCUUUUUCCAGAACGCCAGCCUCUCCAGCAUGACCAGGAAUGACUAGUUUGGAUCUGUUAGAAAACUUAUAAUUGAAUUUGGUAUGACUAUAUGAAAUGCCUGGUGGUGACACUCUUCUUAAUAAAAGCAGAAAAACGGCACGUGCGGUGUUCAAAAUGGUGGCUGCUGCCGAAUGAGAAAGGAAGGCUGAGGCUGGAGCUGAAAGCUACCAAAAAACAACAGAUCAAGCAGCUGUAAUUCGCUCCGAAAUGAGCGCUGUAGACUGUGAAAAAGGCAAUGUACUCAAAGCCUCCCUAAACUGAGCACAGAAACAAACAGGACGAUCCUAUAAGGCACCCCACACAGCGUCCAAACACCCGCAAAGAAUCCGGUCUUCCCAACUAAAUGAGGCUCGAGGCUUCCAUCGAAGCCUGCAAGUCCUGUGAAACCAGCCGGUUCACACUGUGCUGAAAUCAGCGCAGAGAUGGGAAUGGGGAAAAAACAAGCCAAAAAACAAAAAGGAAAGGUACAACCUGAUCAUGUUUCUGCUCUAGGACUAAGAGCCAAGCUUUGCCAUGUCUCUCUUGGGCGAAGACUAAAUCAUGACUUGGGAUCCUAGUCCAAGGAGAGAGGUGUGGCAAAGGUUGAUUGACUUAGUCUCUAGGGCAGGAAGACUUGUGGAUUCAACCCAUCUGUGGUUUCUCCAUUGAUCAUGCUGGAGAAUGUACAAUGCAAGAUGGUCUAGCCUGAGUGAGAGCUAAACUAUAUGUCCCACAAAACCAACGAUUAAUGGUUCUACAAAAAAGCUAUGAUUCAAAAGUGGAGGGGUACUUUGGCUUCAUAAAAACCCUAUACCUAAUCAAGCAGCAAUUUUGGUGGCUGUCACUGAAAAAGGACAUAAAGAGCUAUGUGGCUACCUGCCCCAUUUGUGCCUCUACCAAGAGACAACAAGGGACAAUUUCUGGGCUUCUCCAGCCAGUAACAGAGCCCAAAGCCCCAUGGAAAGAGAUAUCAAUGGACUUUAUUGUAGAACUGCCUGAAAACUCGAGGAAUACAGUGAUCUGGUUGAUAAUCUGUUCUCCAAGCAAGUGCACUUUAUACCCUGCCAAAAAAUCCCCUCAGCACAUGCUUUGGCUAAAGUAUUAGUGCAGCACAUCUAUUGGCUACAUGGUGCUCCAGAAAGAAUAAUCUCAGAUCACGGAGUCCAAUUCACUUCCUGGCUUUGGCAGGAGUUCCUAAAACCUUUGGGGACCACUCAGGGAUUCGGCUCCUUACAUCAUCCAGCUACUAACGGGGGGUACGAGAGGACCAAUGGCAUCCUGGAACAGUACUUCAGAUGCUAUAUUAAUUACCAACAGGACAAUUGGACGGACCUCCUCCCUUUUGUAGAGGUCACCUGAAUAUCUCAGUGCAAAGUAGCAGUGGGUUCACUCCAUUUAAAGUGGCCAUAGGACAAGACUUUGUAUCUAUCUUUCAACUGUCUGACUAGUGAAAACCCCUCCCCCAAAAAAGAAUCUUCAAGGCUUUUGAGUUCCAUAAAAGAUAAAACUUUAUUGAUUACACAUCUUGGAACUGAAGAAGCAAAACCAGCUCUGGUUUUCCCAUGCGAAAGAUUGCUUAGUUAAACAAUAGCUUCCCUUGCCCCCAGUCACCAGAUGCCCACAUUGUCCAAUCAUAGAACUUCAACUUGUUAUGGGAAUGGUCCACUUCUCCAUCAAGCAUCUGCAUUAGUGACCUUGGCAUUCCUGCAAGCUCUCACGGUCCGUGAACGGCUUCUUGGAAUCUCCUUUCCUUCCUGCAUUUCUACCCCUCCCCUCUUUUCUAUGGCAAGUUGAUUAGCGAUAGAAGCUAGCAGGUCUCAUAGCGAUUUAAUCUUGACAUGCCAGCCCCCUGAAAGAAGGGUAAAUAUGAGAGAAAUUAAGCACAGUUAUAUAUAAAUCAUCUCUUAGGACGCUGAGAAUAUUUGGCAUGAAAUCUUCUUAUUAAUCUGUUGGCCUUAAUGUUACCAGCCACUACCCAGUCAGCAUUAGUUCCCCCCCCCCAUCUCAGCCCCCCAGCCAGGUUGCAAAACUCCUGAAUGUACCCUGCUUUACAGAGCUGAUUCUGGAUUCCGCCUGGAAGGUUUGUGUGGGGUCCCUGAAUCUGGCUCAGAGCCCCUUUUGGAAGAUUUUAACAUUUCCCAGUUCAAAGAGCCCCCUCAUCAUGGAGCACCACCAUCCAUUCAGCAGCUUCUCCCUCCAGAUUUGCAGCUAUGGCAUUCACACAGGCCCCUUCAUCCACUCCAGGUAGAUCCACACUUGGUUCAGAAAAUAAGCAAGUUUCUCUGGCCACCUGUCAAAUGUGGCUUUCAAAGAUGGUGGCUCAUGGUCAUCACAGACCAGCAUGUAGCCAAGUGGCAUCCCCAUGACUUGCGGGGCAGCAUGGGCUGGAGCCAGUAGGGCCCUAUCCAUCCCCUGGUUUCCUGCCUCCCCUGGCACACCCGACUUAGCACCAUUGGGUGAGGUGGAGAAGAGGAUGAAGUCACUGAAGCCUGCCCCAUCUCAAGCACUGUUUCCUGGGUUGAGGAUUUCUCCAGCACUGCUCCUCGCAUCUCCAUCCUGACAAACGUCUUCCACUGCUACUCCACCAGAGGGCUGCGGGAGAUGGUCAGGGUCUCCACUUUGCUGGCUCUUCCCAUUCUUCAGCCCUCUUGACCUUCCAUUUGCUUCCCCCAGGUUACUGCAACCCCUGGUGGGAUUAGGGGGAACUCCAUCUCAGCAGCUUUCCCCACAUCACCUGUCCAUUGGGCUUUUGGUCAUGGUCCCCUCUUCUCAUAUUGGCAGUUGCUCCAUCUUCUCAGCUCUCACUUUGGACUUUGUUACCACUGGCAACGUCCCAGAGUUUACCUGAGCCAAUGCCAGUACCUCCUGGGGAGGGACCACCCCAGGCGUCUUCUUUUUCUCAGUUCCUGUCAUCACUAUGCUACAAUCCUUUCAGAAGCAUCCGAAUAGGUUGCAUACAUAACGUAGAGAGCUGGUUUAAUGUCAACUGUUUGACUAGUGAACCCCAAAAAAGGAAUCUUCAAGGAUUUUGAGUGCCACAAAAGAUAAAAUUUUAUUGAAUACACAUCUCAGAAUUGAAGAAGCAAAACCAGCUUUGUUUUUUCUGCAUGAAAGACUUCUUAGUUAAGCAAUAGCUUCCCUUGCUCCCAUUCACUAGGUGCCCACAUUGUCCAAUCAUAGAAAUUUGGCUUGUUAUGGAAACAGUCCACUUCUCCAUCAAGCACCUUGAUGACCUUGGCAUUCCUGCAGGCUUUCACGGUCUGUGAAUGGCUUCUUGGAAUCCUCUUUUCUCCCUGUGCUUUCUACUCCUCCCCCUUUUCCUAUGGUAAGUUGAUUAGAUAGCACAGGGGUCAAACUCGAUUUCAUUGAGGGCCGCAUCAUGGUUGUGGUUGACCUUGGGGGGGCCAGCAUGGGUAUGGCUGGCGUGGGCAUAGUGGGAGUGGGCGUGGCCAGGGUGGGCAUGGUCAGUUCAACGUUGCUUGUGAUGGGAGGCACCUAUGAUGGUCCAGGAGGGGCUGAGGGGAUCCAUUGUCUCCAGCCAAGGAAGGCAAGACCAGGGCGAACAGCAUACCCUUGUCCAUCAGAGGAGCCUUGCUGUCCCUCUCAGACCAUGCAGAGGAUCCCAGUGAUGCUGGCUGCCCAGAGCCCUGGGCAAUGGAGGGCAAGUGCCCAGUCCAGCCUUUCCCAAAGCAUCCCCAGAGAUAGGAUGGGAGACCACGAGGAGAUGUCAGGAGGAGGGGACAAGGGGAUGGCGAAAGGGCAGCAGGGCUGCUCAUGGCCAAGUGCUAAGGCAGGACUUCCCUU